rnacentral:rRNA from 1 species
UUAGUUGCCAGCAUUCAGUUGGGCACUCUAAGGUGACUGCCGGUGACAAACCGGAGGAAGGUGGGGAUGACGUCAAAUCAUCAUGCCCCUUAUGACCUGGGCUACACACGUGCUACAAUGGACAGAACAAAGGGCAGCGAAACCGCGAGGUUAAGCCAAUCCCACAAAUCUGUUCUCAGUUCGGAUCGCAGUCUGCAACUCGACUGCGUGAAGCUGGAAUCGCUAGUAAUCGCGGAUCAGCAUGCCGCGGUGAAUACGUUCCCGGGCCUUGUACACACCGCCCGUCACACCACGAGAGUUUGUAACACCCGAAGUCGGUG